AGGACAGUGUCCUUGCAUACCAUGAGGUUGUCUGUGUUACAAACUGUCCUCACAUAACAUGAAUAUUCCCCUGUCUCACAUACAGAUGUAGAAACUACAGCACUUGCUUGUAAAGUGGCUAGUUAAGGAAUAUCGUUUUUUUCUCUUUAAUACACAUUCUUACUUGUGGCAUCAAUAUGUACCUAUAUGGUGCAUUGUCAGCUGUUUCCUGCGGCUUGAUGCUGAAAUUUGUUAUGCAGUGACAUGCCUCCCUUAUCCAAAAUGAUUGCUAAAUCUUAUUAAAUAUUCUGUCUUUGCACAUACUGUAUGGAGUAUUCCCAUCUGUACCAGUUGAUGCCUGUUAAUCUUUGCAUAUUGCUGUUCAUUAUUUUUAGGUGCACUGUGUCAGCGGUCAAAGUGGCACUUCUUCUGCGAAAGAGGGGAUUGGAGAAGUUGGUGUCCAGCACCAGGAGGUGUCAUCCCCUGUGUUCUCAGCAGACCUUGCCAGUGAUGACCAAGGGAACUCUGCCUGUGUAACUUCUGGUUCACCUCAUCUCCCUGACUCAGUUACUCAAGGUUUCCGUGUUUCAUCAAGGCGGUGUACGAAGAGACCAUGGUCUGGUCAGGAGAUACAAGCCGUGAUGAAACAUCUGAGGCCUUUUGUUGAAAACGGUGUCACUGCCACCAGUGGGCAGUGCCUGCAGUGCAAGGAAAAGG